rnacentral:rRNA from 1 species
AGUGAACGCUGGCGGUAGGCCUAACACAUGCAAGUCGAACGGGAGCACAGUAAGAGCUUGCUCUUACGGGUGGCGAGUGGCGGACGGGUGAGGAAUACAUCGGAAUCUACUUUUUCGUGGGGGAUAACGUAGGGAAACUUACGCUAAUACCGCAUACGACCUACGGGUGAAAGCAGGGGAUCUUCGGACCUUUCACGAUUGAAUGAGCCGAUGUCGGAUUAGCUAGUUGGCGGGGUAAUGGCCCACCAAGGCGACGAUCCGUAGCUGGUCUGAGAGGAUGAUCAGCCACACUGGAACUGAGACACGGUCCAGACUCCUACGGGAGGCAGCAGUGGGGAAUAUUGGACAAUGGGCGCAAGCCUGAUCCAGCAAUACCGCGUGGGUGAAGAAGGCCUUCGGGUUGUAAAGCCCUUUUGUUGGGAAAGAAAAGCAGCAGGUUAAUACCCCGAUGUUCUGACGGUACCCAAAGAAUAAGCACCGGCUAACUUCGUG